rnacentral:rRNA from 1 species
AGUAACACGUGGGUAACCUGCCUUAUAGUGGGGGAUAGCCUUUCGAAAGGAAGAUUAAUACCGCAUAAGAUUGUAGUAUCGCAUGAUAUAGCAAUUAAAGGAGCAAUUCGCUAUAAGAUGGACCCGCGUCGCAUUAGCUAGUUGGUGAGGUAAUGGCUCACCAAGGCGACGAUGCGUAGCCGACCUGAGGGGGUGAUCGGCCACAUUGGGACUGAGACACGGCCCAGACUCCUACGGGAGGCAGCAUG